CCCGGCCCAAACUACGCCGUUAAUCGAACCAACGGCGGUGAUACAUCGACAAGGACACUAUUUCCCUCGUAAAUUUUCUUGAUUAACGUCUAUAAGCUGAUUUAAAAGACCGCGAAGCCAGAUAAGCAUGGAAUGAUCAUUUAAAAAUCGUGACUCGUUAGCAUCUUGCUUGCAAGGGAAAGGAACAAAGAAGAAAUGGCUGUAGCCUCCUCUAUGGCUUCAGUGAGACUGGUGAAAGCUUCAUGGGAGUAUGGGACACACAGCGAACCCUCGUCCCCAAUCACAGUCACUCCAGCUCCUUGUUGAACAACAAAAGCCCUAACACAGUCCGUUCUCCAACCUCUCAAACCAAACAGAUCACAACAACAACGGCCCCGGUUACUCCGAAGAAGAACUUAACUGCUUCAGAACUUCUGGACUUGAAUAUCCACAAUCCUACAAAAGAAAAAUCGGGAUAUUUGGGUUCCGAGAAAUGGUUGCCAGCUCUACGCAAGGUGAAAAGGCCUCGAUCAAUAUACAAUGCGGCGUCUUUAGCAUAUAUUGGUGAUUGCAUAUAUGAGUUAUAUGCCCACAGGCACUUCCUGUUUCCUCCUCUCAAUAUUGAAGACUAUGAUGAUCAUGUGAAAGCAAUAGUAUGCUGUGAAGCACAGGAUGUAUUGCUCAAGAAUCUUCUAAAGGGUGACUACUUGACAGAAAGAAAGGGAUGCUCUUCGUUGGGGGAAAAAUAUUUGUCCAAGGAAAACACGAACUACAAAGCGAGUUGGUCUAGCUGUGUAUAAUAGAGUUUCUUCAUUGGAAACACUUGUUGGUUAUCUUUGCCUGACUAAUGCGAAGCGUUUGGAAGAAGUAAUGCAAAAACUGGGAUUCUUAACAGGUGCUUCUACCCAAUUGAUCAUAGAGGAAAACAUGUAGUGACUGGUUCCUAACACCUCUUUCUGAAUGGAUAAGGAUGCCAGUGUUGCAUCGGUGCUCAUUAGGAACCACCAUAAUUUAGGUCCGUUUCUCUCACUAAUGGAUUUAUCAUUUAUAUGGAUGAUGUCUACAAUUUGGAUUGAACAGACAAGGCAACUGGAUCAGUAUUAGAACUAUACCAUUACAUGAUGAAAUAUGGAUAACCAACUCAAAUAGAAUCAACACGUCAGCAAAACCUUGCUCAUACUAGAGACUGUUGCCAUGGAUCAUGCUGGUCCAAGCAAACCAAGGAGUUUGGAUAUGGUCUUCAUCUAGACUGAAGGAGAGAGCUAUGUUGAAUUUGUGGCAAAUCCAUCACGUAACAACUAACAAGGAUAAGGAACCACUCAUUCCUGACGAGGAUAGAUAA